UGAGUACGAGAUGCUACGGCAUCGAAGCAGUCUAUGUCAUACUUCCAAGAAAAGCUUGCACUGUCAGAAACAGAUAAUGCCUGUACCAUAACCGACACAGGUGGGUAGGUAGAGUAUACUAAGGGGCGCGAGAUAACUCUCUCUAAGGAACUCGGCAAAAUGACUCCGUAACUUCGGGAGAAGGAGUGCCUUAUUUUUAAGGUUGCAAUAACAAGAUCCAAGCAACUGUUUACCAAAAACACAGGUCUCCGCUAAGUCGUAAGACGAUGUAUGGGGGCUGACGCCUGCCCAGUGCCAGAAGGUUAAAGAAGUCGGUUAGCAUUCGCGAAGCUGGUAACUGAAGCCCUGGUGAACGGCGGCCGUAACAAUAACGGUCCUAAGGUAGCGAAAUUCCUUGUCGGGUAAGUUCCGACCCGCACGAAAGGCGUAAUGAUUUGGAUACUGUCUCGGAGAGGGGCUCGGUGAAAUAGACUUGUCUGUGAAGAUGCGGACUACCUGCACCUGGACAGAAAGACCCUAUGAAGCUUUACUGUAACUUGAAAUUGAAAUUGGACUUUAUUUGCGCAGUAUAGGUGGGAGGCGUUGAAAAUAUUCUUGCGGGAAUAUUGGAGCCAUCAGUGAGAUACCACUCUUGUAAUGUUAGAUUUCUAACUUUAUAUCAUUAUCUGGUUAAAGAACAGUUUCAGGCGGGCAGUUUGACUGGGGCGGUCGCCUCCCAAAUGGUAACGGAGGCGCACAAAGGUUUCCUCUGAACGGGUAGAAAUCGUAUCUAGAGUGUAAAGGCAUAAGGAAGCUUGACUGUGAGACCUACAAGUCGAGCAGGGACGAAAGUCGGUCUUAGUGAUCUGACGGUGCUGAGUGGAAAGGCCGUCACUCAACGGAUAAAAGUUACUCUAAGGAUAACAGGCUGAUCUCCCCCAAGAGUUCACAUCGACGGGGAGGUUUGGCACCUCGAUGUCGGCUCAUCGCAUCCUGGGGCGGUAGUACGUCCCAAGGGUUGGGCUGUUCGCCCAUGAAAGCGGUACGCGAGCUGGGUUCAGAACGUCGUGAGACAGUUCGGUCCAUAUCCGGUGUAGGCGUUAGAAUAUUGAGAGGGGCCUUCUUUAGUACGAGAGGACCGAGAAGGACAUACCUCUGGUGUACCAGUUAUCGUGCCAACGGUAAACGCUGGGUAGCUAUGUAUGGAGUGGAUAACCGCUGAAAGCAUCUAAGUGGGAAGCCCACCUCAAGAUAAGUAUUCUCACCAUAUUGGUUAAGGUCACGGGAAGAACACCCGUUGAUAGGCAUCAGGUGGAAGUGCAGUAAUGUAUGAAGCCGAAGUGUACUAACAGACCGAGGGC
rnacentral:rRNA from 1 species